UUCAUGGGGGAAGCAGCUGCAUACGCCAAAAAGCCCUCGCCGGGCUGAAGCUUCUGCCCGGCGAGGGCUUUUCC
rnacentral:sRNA from 1 species